AAAGACUGGGUAACAGAGUUAAUGUCGCAUUACGGCAUGAACUGUAUAAGGACGUGGAUUGUUUUAAACGGUACAAGGGAGAAAAAUUAGUGGAGAAGGAAUUGGUGAAAAUGACGGAAACCAUACAGGAAGCCAAAGUAAGCAAAAGGAUAAACCUUGAAUAAUCUCAAAUAGGACUUUUGAGCAGAAUUAAUAAUCUCUAAAAGUCAGGAACGAUUAAACGAAUAAGUGAUUAAUACGAUAACGAGUGGUUGCUAAGGAGAUGGUAAAUAAGGAUACCAUUUUACACGAACGAAUUUACCAAAAGCUGUUCAGGAUAACUAUCCUUAGAUCUUGAUUAGAUAACGAGCACUAUAUUCCACGUUUUCUCCAAGUUUUCACCGGUUGCUUCACGCGAGAUUCAUUUUAAACUUGAAGACUCGUGUGAUUUUGACUUUAUCGUAUCGGCCGAUCGAUUCUCCGCGUUCUUGCACGUAAGGAAUGGUGCACUCUCAUAUGCAAAUGCGGGAUAAGCUCGUGUCGUUGUUCGAACAGCGGAUGUAACAAAUAUUCUUAAUGUACCUAUAAAUGUUAUUCGAAUAUCGACACGGCGAUAACGAUACGGCUUUCUCGAUCUUCGUGUUAAGAGGAUAUUCGCGUGCUCGUUGACUAAUACGAUACGAAUCAUAUUCAAUACCGGUUUAAUCGAUGUUAUGCUUGAAUAACCAUCAAUAAGUUUUAUUUUUCUAUAACGAUAUGAAUCAUUCGAUAUUUACGUAAUCGAUGACGUGGUGCAUGCAUUUUUCAUAAUUCGUAAUAUUUAGAUCUGGAAGAAAAAUGAAAUUAUUGACAAAUGACAGCGAUACAGUAAAAGAGCGUUGUUCUUUGACAAAUAUAUUUUAACAGAUGUAUUUAUGGAUAUUUAUCAUAAUUUAAUAAUAAUGAAUAUGUAUGUGUCUCGAUUUUUCAUUAUGAUGAAUGAUAUGAAUGUAUUAUGACAUAUUUAAGAGCUGUAUAUAAAAAAUUGAUCAGUUCCAUUAAAAUAGAUACAUAUUGUUAUUUAAAACUUGAUAUUAUGAAAUAUCUGGUUCAAUUAUAUAAAAUAAAAUUAUCUGAUGAUUCAAUUAUAAAAUAAAAUCAUGUGUAUUACAAGUAGAUGCUUACCAAAUCAACAUUUUACAUAUAUUAUUAAUUUAAUUAUUAUUUUUUUACAGAUCCAUACAAAAAAUUUAAGUGAAUUUUUUUAUAAUCAAAUUUCACACAUAUCUACGUACAUAUUUUAAAUACAAUCUAAAAAGCAAAAGAAUAACAUGCAACAUCGAUCGUAUACAUAAAAAAUAAUGAACAAAACAAAAAAAAAUUAUGUAAAUCUAACCAAAUAUUAAUUUCGAGUAAAGACAAUAUUCAGAAAUAUCAAUUAUAUAUCAAACAAGAUUAUAUGUAAAAUAAUAUAUAAAAAAAAAAUAAAUUUUAAAUUAAAAUAUAUAA